CACGGAGUUAGCCGAUCCUUAUUCUUACGAUACCGUCAAGCUACUUCACGAAGUAGUGUUUCUUCUCGUAUAAAAGCAGUUUACAAUCCAUAGGACCGUCAUCCUGCACGCGGCAUGGCUGGAUCAGGCUUGCGCCCAUUGUCCAAUAUUCCUCACUGCUGCCUCCCGUAGGAGUCUGGUCCGUGUCUCAGUACCAGUGUGGGGGAUCUCCCUCUCAGGACCCCUACCCAUCGUAGCCUUGGUAAGCCGUUACCUUACCAACUAGCUAAUGGGACGCAUGCUCAUCUUUUACCGUUGUGACUUUAAUAAUGUCUUGAUGCCAAGUCAUUAUACUAUGAGGUAUUAAUCCAAAUUUCUCUGGGCUAUCCCUCUGUAAAAGGUAGAUUGCAUACGCGUUACGCACCCGUGCGCCGGUCUCUAGCUCCGAAGAACUAUACCCCUCGACUUGCAUGUGUUAAGCCUGCCGCUAGCGUUCAUCCUGAGCCAGGAUCAAA
rnacentral:rRNA from 1 species